rnacentral:rRNA from 1 species
ACGAACGCCGGCGGCGUGCUUAACACAUGCAAGUCGAACGGUGAAGCGCCUUCCUUUUUGGUGGGUGUGGAUGAGUGGCGAACGGGUGAGUAACACGUGAGUAACCUGCCCCCUUCUUCUGGAUAACCGCAUGAAAGUGUGGCUAAUACGGGAUAUUCUGGGUCUGUCGCAUGAUGGGUCUGGGAAAGAUAUUGUUUCGGUGGGGGAUGGGCUCGCGGCCUAUCAGCUUGUUGGUGGGGUGAUGGCCUACCAAGGCGGUGACGGGUAGCCGGCCUGAGAGGGUGGACGGUCACACUGGGACUGAGACACGGCCCAGACUCCUACGGGAGGCAGCAGUGGGGAAUAUUGCACAAUGGGCGCAAGCCUGAUGCAGCGACGCCGCGUGAGGGAUGGAGGCCUUCGGGUUGUGAACCUCUUUCGCCAGUGAAGCAGGCCUGCCUCGUUUGUGGGUGGGUUGACGGUAGCUGGAUAAGAAGCGCCGGCUAACUACGUG